UCGAAAAGAAUAAAAACAAAAAACAAAAACAGAAAUUAAAAAUUGGGUAAUUAAUUAUGUAUUGGGAGCACACCAUCAUCUUCCACGAGUAAUCUUAUAUUUUACAAUUGGCUUUAUAUAGGUCAUGGCUCUGACUUCACAAUCAACACUCAUCCACGCGUUGAAUUCCUCUCUACUGUUUCCCAACACCAACUUCGAAUCUUUUAUACCCUAAAAAAAAUUCAGUUCUAAAAUGAAAUUUUUCUCAUUAUAUUUACCUAUGUUCUAUUCAUAAGAAAAUUACUCAUGACAAGAGUUUUUUGUUCCGCAACAGAAGGAGUCCGUUAUAAUAAGUUUUGUUGUUGUGAUUUGUGUAUAUACAAUGCAAUGUUAUAUGUAACUCAUAGAUUUUAGUUAUUAAUUUCCACUCUUUUUAAAGAUAUAAAUAUAAAUAUUUAUAUUGGAGUGUGAAAGAUUAUCAAAGCUCCAAGUUCCAAAGAGAAUGAGAGAUAACAGCAAAUGCAUGUUUGGAUUCAAAUUAAUUAUCUCUUUUCUUUAUGGCCUGUGAAGGGAGGAGUUAAGGUGGCUCGGCUGCCGCCGAUAUCGAUUGACGAGAAUAAAAGGUUCCAUCGAGAUGUGUUGACCUGAGGCCCACUACUACUCCCAGUACCAGAUUCGUUACCAUCACAAACAGUACCGUCGUUCAGUUCCGAGAAAAGACAGAGAGUCAAACAAAUGAGGGAGAGCAGAGAUAAGAGUAAGAGUUAAAGAGUUAAAGAGUUAAAGAGUAAAAGGGAGAUGGACAUGCGUAUUGUUAUUGGUGCUACAAAUCUCUGAAAACAUGGCGGGUAGCGGCUAAUAAAGAUUAACCGAAGAGGUGGAGUUUUAAUUAUUUUUGCCGUUUGGAGUAAAACAGUGGAAGUAAAAUAUAGAGAAGGAAAUGACAAUGGUACCCUCUGGCAAAUUAUUUAUAGAAAUGGAGAGAGUAGAAAUAAGGCAAGUUGUAGAAAUAAUGUUGAGAGUGAAAAGGGUAUUACGUACGUAAGAUUCUUGGGAAUGACAUGUUGAUCAGUGAGGAGAGAAUUGGGAAAGGGAAAACGACAGCCGGUUGGGUUAUAAGGUGUAGGUAAUAGGUAGGCUUUGGGAAUUGAAGUUGGAACAGAGAGAGAGAGAGAGAGGAGCACAGGACAAGAACUGCGCAGGUGAUGAAGAUGAAGAAGCUAGUGUGAAGGUGUUGCCGUGUUGAUACUUGGUAGGGGCUUGGGUGGUGAACCUCAUGGCCCGCGCAUGGCCUCAACUUGACUUAGCACCGAAUAUACAAAGAGAUCUAAUUACACCCACUCUCUCAAAUCAAUGAAUACCUCAUAUAUUUUACUAAUGAUUUGUAAGGUAUAACAACAGUAUAAUAAUAUCCACUUUCAGCUGUUUCAUCAAAAAAAAGUAAACAAUAAUAUCCACUUGUCAUGUAUUUAAGAAUGAGGGUGUCAAUGAAGAUGCAAUAAUAAUUUUCAUACCAUUCUACACCAUCUACCAAUAUGUAAAAAUUAUGUCAUAUAUUUGUAACCGGCCGGACUCGG